GCCUGGGUGGCUCAGUUGGUUGAGCGUCCGACUUCGGUUCAGGUCAUGAUCUCACGGUUCAUGAGUUCAGACCCUAUUUCAGGCU
rnacentral:tRNA from 1 species